UGGAAAGUUUUCUUAAGAACAAUAAUCUCAGUUGAGACAUGAGUGACAGUGAAAAAUCUAGAUUUGAAAAGCAAGCAUUCAUGUAACUUUUUUUAUAACAGAUUUGUAAAUACCAGCUUCCAAGAACACCAUCUUCCCUGACUUAUACUGGACUUCUUCCAGGGUCCCAGUAAAUUGGAUGGAAGGAAGAUAGUAAGUCCAAGGAAAAUGAUAUUUAAAAAAAGAAAAGUAUCCCUAUAACCCAGCAUGUGAGCAUCUGAGAGAGAGUGUGUGUGCACAAUUGGAAAGCAGCUGAAAUCCUCAAAUGGUUGUCAUAAAUCGCCCUCCCACAUUUUUAUUAUCUUAUUAGUAGGAAAACAGUAAAAGUGAAUCGGUCAGAGACACAAAAGCAGUUGAGAAUCUGGCCUUUAAGUAUGUGUGCAACUCUGAACAUGGAUCCCCAUAACCUUUGAACUGCUUUGCUCUGACAGAAGACAGGAGUUUUAUGGAAAAAAUGGUUGGAGCUCAUUGAAAAACCUCCGUCUCCCCAAAUACUAGUGGCCUGCUAUGAAGUCCAAUCCUGCUGGCUGUCAACCAAAUUUUGCUCUCCACUUCUUCCAGUGGAAUGGAAGAAGAAGUGAAAUGUGUCUCCUUUGCACUGAGCUUUAAGAUGGUUUUCUUCAUGCUCUAGAAACAUGAUUCGCUUCAUGUCAGCCUCGCUGGAAACUCUCUUCUACCAUGCAGAUGAAAACAAUGCCCAGAGGAUGGUAGAGCUGCCCUGCUAGCCUGGCCCCAGACAGCAUGAUGGCGUGGAGCCUGCCUGCCAGUCUUGGACCGUUACUGGAGAGAAGCAAACUUCUGUCUCAUUUAGACCAUGGAUUUUUGGGUCUCUGUGCAAUGGCAAUUUGGCUUUCACUCCAAUCAAUAUACUUUCCUGACUUGAUAAUUUGAGAUAUGUUUAGUUUAGACUGCACGUGUUAAAUGUCUCUAUCCUCAUCCUUCCAUGUAUAAUAUGGAGUUUGGUUGUUUUCUAACCUUUUUUUCUGUCACAGAAGAGUCUGCUCACCACACUGAUGCAAUCACUUCCUUGAGUCAGCCUUGAUACCCAAGGUGCAGAUAAUUCUAUGCCCUCUGUCUGUAAGUGUAUACAAUUCUGAUUUUUAGGAGUGAGGUCUUUAUCAGCUAUAUUUACGUGGAACCAGCUCUAUUCUCCUGUUUGCUACUACAGAGAUUCACGUGAUACUAAAACGAAGAUAAUCUCUAGAGUUGUUGCAUGUGAGAGCUGGCCAGAGGCAGCCUGAGGAAUCGCUGUGCCCAUGGGCAAGCUGAAGUCUGUGGAUGUUGCUGCUAGUCGCAUGCCAGGGUUAGCAGGGUAAGAGAAUGUUCUUGUAUUCAAAGUGUGUCCUGCAGCCAUCUUUGGAGCCAAAAGUGGUGUUAUCGCUCUUUGGGAGCUUUGGCUCUUGGUAUUAGCCUAAAACAUGUGGAAGAUGCCAGGGAGGGUGGGUCAGCAGGGACUUCACUGCAGCACAAGCACUGUCAGAGCCUAGAGGUCUCUCCCAAACAUGCCUCCAUCUUGGGGCUGCAGUCAUGAGUCCAGGCUGUUUUCCUUGAUGCUGAUUUCGCCCUCAGGAGCACUGGUUUUCAUUUUCAAGUUUGGUCUCAGUGGGUUUAUUCUAGUCCGUCCGAAAUAUUUUUAUAUUCAUAAACCUCAGAGAGGGUCCUGG
rnacentral:lncRNA from 1 species